rnacentral:rRNA from 1 species
UACGUAGGGGGCUAGCGUUGUCCGGAAUCAUUGGGCGUAAAGGGCGCGUAGGCGGCACCGCAAGUCGACUGUGAAAUCUCCGGGCUUAACCCGGAAAGGUCAGCCGAUACUGCGGGGCUAGAGUGCAGAAGGGGCAACUGGAAUUCUCGGUGUAGCGGUGAAAUGCGUAGAUAUCGAGAGGAACACCUGCGGCGAAGGCGGGUUGCUGGGCUGACACUGACGCUGAGGCGCGAAAGCUAGGGGAGCGAACGGG